CCGUACUCUCUCUCUCUCUCUCUACAUCAUCUCUGUCCCCUCUCCCCUGUACGCACUACAAAUCGAAACCCUAAACCCACCAUCAUCUCUCUACAAAUCGGAACCCUAAAACCCCCACGACGGCAGCACCAACUACCACCAUCUCUUUCUCCGUACCUGCACCCACCAUUACCAACCCACCCACCUGCUACUGCCGAAGUUCAUCGAUGAUCUGAUUAGAUGUUAAGCUGGUUUUAAUCGAUUGGUGAGAUUUUUAGGGUCAGAAGGUGUUUUCAAUUUAUGGAAAGGUGUUUUCAAAACAAGAAUCAAAUAUCAUCCAUUCAACUUCAUCAGGAAAAAGUGUAAUUGAUGGCGUUAAGGUUAAUUGAUUCAGCAGUAAGAUGAAGAGUUCGAACAGAUCGUUCAUUGGCUAAUUAAACGGCUCUAAAGAAACUCAUGAUCUCGGCGAACUGUUCAGAGUAUGCAAUCGGAACAACGGGAUUAGGGCUGGCGUUUUAGUAGCAGUACUGUACUCACAUCUUCCUCGGAAUCCAUUUCAAUUUCCGCCGUGAUGGUUGUUGUUAGUGGAGGCGCCCGGCGAUAAUGAGUGGUGGCACUGUGGGAGUGGUGGUGGUAGAGGUUGGUUGGAGAGAGAUGAAUAGGAGAGAUUCUAGGGUUAUGGUUGGGGAAUUGGGGAAGAAGGUGUUUAUUUAUUAAUGAACAAUUUAAAUAAAAACAUGAAAUGACCAUAAUACCCUUAAGUGGAUAGGCAUAACUGAAAAUUUUAACUUGGUUAGUGCUAAAGGACGAAAGGUGAAAUGCGUUUUCCAAAUAAAGGACUGUGACUGUAAUUAUUGAAGGUAAAAGUCAUCCAUUGCAAUCUA